CCGGCUAUACACGCUCAACGCAGUUACAUUUCUUGCACUGGAAGUGAAAGACUCUAGUGGAUUCCGAGUCGCUCUCAGCGAGCGAGACCCCGGGUCCAGGAUAGAUUGGGGCACCGCGGCUCGGAGACCUCCCCAGAGUCUUGACCCCCGCCCGCCCCACUGAAGUUCCGACGGGUGGAUAUACUAUUUUGCCUGUCCAGGUUCUGCACUGCAGAGAAAAGAACUUAAGAGUCAUGAUGCUAAAAUCUGGAAAUAAGACUCACUUGGCAGAAAGAAACCUAGAUGCUGUGAGAAGAGAGAAGGUGAGAGAACAGUUCCGGAGGAGUGGAAAAAGACAGAUGGACAGACACCGGAUAGUUUCCUACAGUAUGAGCACCAGUGCCACCAAACGCCCCUCUUUACUAAAAACCCGAAUUAUAAUGUUCUAAAGUUGGGAAUGAAAGAAGUCCAGUUGUUCCACAUCAAAUCAGGUAAAAUAGUAACUCCUAACUUUUUUCUUCACAUAUGCCUUUGAGAGUAUGAUGGUAAGGGUGAACUAUAUGUCCAGAAAAAAAAGUGUAUGUAUUACUUACGCACAAAAUCGUCUUCUAGAACAGCUAGUCAUAAUAUUCAAGAUGGAAUCCACUUAGUCACCAAACAUACAUAAUAUAUAAUCCUGUUCAUUUGGCUGUCAUAAAUAUUUCU